GACGAACGCUGGCGGCGUGCUUAACACAUGCAAGUCGAACGGAAAGGCCCUUCGGGGUACUCGAGUGGCGAACGGGUGAGUAACACGUGGGUGAUCUGCCCUGCACUUUGGGAUAAGCCUGGGAAACUGGGUCUAAUACCGAAUAGGACCACGCGCUUCAUGGUGUGUGGUGGAAAGCUUUUGCGGUGUGGGAUGGGCCCGCGGCCUAUCAGCUUGUUGGUGGGGUAAUGGCCUACCAAGGCGACGACGGGUAGCCGACCUGAGAGGGUGACCGGCCACACUGGGACUGAGAUACGGCCCAGACUCCUACGGGAGGCAGCAGUGGGGAAUAUUGCACAAUGGGCGCAAGCCUGAUGCAGCGACGCCGCGUGAGGGAUGACGGCCUUCGGGUUGUAAACCUCUUUCAAUAGGGACGAAGCGCAAGUGACGGUACCUAUAGAAGAAGCACCGGCCAACUACGUG
rnacentral:rRNA from 1 species